AUUUGGUACUUGUCUUUCUCCACCUGGCUUAUUUCACUGAGCAUAAUACCCUCUAGCUCCAUCCAUAUUGUUGCAAAUGGUAGGAUUUGUUUUCUUAUGGCUGAAUAAUAUUCCAUUGUGUAUAUGUACCACAUCUUCUUUAUCCAUUCAUCUACUGAUGGACACUUAGGAUGCUUCCAUUUCUUGGCUAUUGUAAAUAGUGCUGUGAUAAACAUAGGGGUGCAUCUGUCUUUUUGAAUCUGGGCUGCUGUAUUCUUAGGGUAAAUUCCUAGAAGUGGGAUUCCUGGGUCAAAUGGUAUUUCUAUUUUUAGUUUUUUGAGGAACCUCCAUACUGCUUUCCACAAUGAUUGAACUAAUUUACAUUCCCACCAGCAGUGUAGGAGGGUUCCCCUUUCUCCACAUCCUCGACAGCAUUUGUUUUUAUUUGUCUUUUAUAUGUUGGCCUUCCUAACUGGUGUGAGGUGAUACCUCAUUGUGGUUUUAAUUUGCAUUUCUCUGGUGAUUAGCGAUGUGGAGCAUCUUUUCAUGUGCCUGUUGGCCAUCUGAAUUUCUUCUUUGGAGAAGUGUCUGCUCAGAUCCUCUUCCCACUUGUUAAUCGGGUUAUUUGCUUUUUGGGUGCUGAAGUGUGUAAGUUCUUUAUAUAUUUUGGAUGUUAACCCCUUGUCGGAUCUGUCAUUUAUUAAUAUAUUCUCCCAUACUGUAGGAUGCCUUUUUGUUCUACUGAUGAUGUGUAUCCUUUGCUGUAUGGAAGUUUUUAGUUUGAUAUAGUCCCACCUGUUCAUUUUUGCUUUUGUUUCCCUUGCCCAAGGAGAUAUGCUCUGGGGAAGAAUCCUUCCUUGUCUCCUCCAGCUUCUGGUGGCCACCAGUAAUCCUGGGCUUGUGAAGGCAUCACUCCAAAUCUCGGCCUCCAUCUACACCUGGGCACCUUGUAAGGACACCGAUCACUGAAUUAGGGCUGAUCCUCAGCACAGAGACAGCCUCCAACAUGCACAGGAAACAAAACCAGUAACACACAAAAACAGCAAAGCCUGGGAAGAGGGAGCACCUGAUUGCCAGAGUUCCCACAUGGUCAGAUCCAAAUGUCCAGGUAUUGACAAAAAAAUC